GAAUUGUCUCAUCAACUAAUAUUAUUAAAAGAAAUAAACCAUUGGAAAGAAAAACCCAAAUAGGAUUCACUCAUUGCUAUCUGUAUCCAUCCCAAAUCUAAGCACCAAACCCACAUACUACCCAAACUUGCACAAACCCAUUUGUCUCCUCUUUUGCUGAAAAUUUGAUCAAAGGCAACGCAAAUUGUUUGGGUAUCCAAUUUAUAUAUAUACAAAACCAAAA
rnacentral:misc_RNA from 1 species